GCCCUCUUAGUUUAGUGGUAGAACGCAGCCAUGGUAAGGCUGAAAUAACAGUUCAAUUCUGUUAGAGGGCACCA
rnacentral:tRNA from 1 species